rnacentral:rRNA from 1 species
AGUGAACGCUGGCGGUAGGCCUAACACAUGCAAGUCGAACGGCAGCACAGUAAGAGCUUGCUCUUACGGGUGGCGAGUGGCGGACGGGUGAGGAAUACAUCGGAAUCUACUUUUUCGUGGGGGAUAACGUAGGGAAACUUACGCUAAUACCGCAUACGACCUACGGGUGAAAGCAGGGGAUAUUCGGAACUUGCGCGAUUGAAUGAGCCGAUGUCGGAUUAGCUAGUUGGCGGGGUAAAGGCCCACCAAGGCGACGAUCCGUAGCUGAUCUGAGAGGAUGAUCAGCCACACUGGAACUGAGACACGGUCCAGACUCCUACGGGAGGCAGCAGUGGGGAAUAUUGGACAAUGGGCGCAAGCCUGAUCCAGCCAUACCGCGUGAGUGAAGAAGGCCUUCGGGUCGUAAAGCCCUUUUAUUGGGAAAGAAAAGCAGCAUGUUAAUACCCCGCUGUUCUGACGGUACCCAAAGAGUAAGCACCGGCUAACUUCGUG